GCUGGGCAUGGUGGUGCACACCUUUAAUCCCAGCAGCUAGGAGGCUGAGGCAGGAGGAUGGUGAGUUCAAAGCCAGCCUCAG
rnacentral:sRNA from 1 species